rnacentral:rRNA from 1 species
CCCUAUUAUUUUAGAACGUUAAUUUUUGUUUGUCUGAGUAGUAUUAGUUAUGUUCUUGAAACUUAAAGAAUUUGGCGGUAUCUUAUUCCAUCCAGAGGAAUCUGUCUCGUUAUCGAUAGUCCACGUUGGACCUUACUUAGAUUGCUAUUAGGUUUGUAUACCGCCGUUUAUUGAUUAUCUUUUUAGAGUUAUUAUAAUUUUCUAGUUUCUUUAUUUUGAUUUAUUUCAGGUCAAGGUGCAGCUUGUUUCUAAGUGGAUGAUGGAUUACAUUGUUAUUUGUGUUAAAUGGAUUAUUAGUUUGAAUAUUAAUAUGAAAUUGGAUUUGGUUGUAAUGUUUUGUAGAUUGUUUUCAUGGUAUUUGGUUCUGGGAUAUGUACACAUCGCCCGUCGCUCUCGUUUGUUUUAAUGAGAUAAGUC